rnacentral:rRNA from 1 species
ACGGAGGUUGCAAGCGUUGUUCGGAAUAACUGGGCGUAAAGGGAGCGCAGGCGGCUUGGUAAGUCUAAAGUGAAAUUCCAGGGCUCAACCCUGGACGUGCUUUGGAUACUGCCUGGCUUGAGUACGUGAGAGGAGAUUGGAAUUCCAGGUGUAGCGGUGAAAUGCGUAGAUAUCUGGAGGAACACCGGUGGCGAAAGCGGAUCUCUGGCACGUUACUGACGCUGAGGCUCGAAAGCGUGGGGAGCAAACGGGA